UCGACGUGUCUUGGGCUCCUCUGGCGCCAAAAUGUCGCUCGUAGCGGGGGUUAUUCGGCGGCUGGACGAAACAGUGGUGAACCGCAUCGCGGCAGGGGAAGUCAUCCAGCGGCCGGCCAACGCCAUCAAGGAGAUGAUUGAGAACUGCUUAGAUGCAAAAGCCACCAGCAUCCAAGUGGUUGUUAAAGAGGGAGGCCUCAAGUUGAUUCAGAUCCAAGACAAUGGCACUGGGAUCCGGAAAGAAGAUCUGGAUAUUGUGUGUGAGAGGUUCACUACAAGUAAACUGCAGUCCUUUGAGGAUUUAGCUAGUAUUUCUACCUAUGGCUUUCGGGGUGAGGCUUUGGCCAGCAUCAGCCACGUGGCUCACGUUACUAUUACAACCAAAACAGCUGAUGCAAAGUGCGCAUACAGAGCAAGUUACUCAGAUGGAAAGCUGACAGCUCCUCCUAAACCAUGUGCAGGCAAUCAGGGGACCCAGAUUACGGUGGAAGAUCUCUUUUACAACAUAUCCACAAGGAGGAAAGCUUUAAAAAAUCCGAGUGAAGAGUAUGGGAAAAUUUUGGAAGUUGUUGGCAGGUAUUCAAUACACAAUUCAGGCAUUGGUUUCUCAGUUAAAAAACAAGGCGAGACAGUGGCUGACGUUAGAACACUGCCCAGUGCCACGACUGUAGACAAUAUUCGCUCCAUUUUUGGAAAUGCUGUUAGCCGAGAACUGAUAGAAGUCGGGUGUGAGGAUAAAACCCUAGCCUUCAAAAUGAAUGGCUUUAUAUCCAAUGCAAAUUACUCCGUGAAGAAGUGUAUCUUCUUACUCUUCAUCAACCAUCGUCUGGUAGAGUCAACUUCCUUAAGAAAAGCCAUUGAAACCGUGUAUGCAGCCUAUUUGCCCAAAAACACACACCCGUUCCUGUACCUCAGUUUGGAGAUCAGCCCCCAGAACGUGGAUGUCAACGUGCACCCCACAAAGCACGAGGUUCACUUCCUACACGAGGACAGCAUCCUGGAGCGGGUGCAACAGCACAUUGAGAGCAAGCUCCUGGGCUCCAACUCGUCCAGGAUGUACUUCACCCAGACUUUACUCCCAGGUCUUGCUGGCCCCUCUGGGGAGGUGGUUAAGUCCACAAUGGGUGUGCCCCCCUCAUCCACUUCUGGAAGCGGCGACAAGGUCUAUGCUCACCAGAUGGUCCGCACAGAUUCGCGGGAACAGAAGCUCGAUGCGUUUUUGCAGCCUGUGAGCAAGGCUCAGCCUCAGGCCGUGGUCCCAGAAGAUGGGCCUGAGGCUUCCAGCGGCAGGGCCAGGCAGCAGGAUGAGGAAAUGCUCGAACUCCCGGAGCCUGCUGCAGUGGCUGCCACAAAUCAGGGCUUGGAGGGGGAUGCAACAGAGGGGACUUCGCAAGUGUCGGAGAAGAGAGGGCCACCUUCCAGCCCAGGUAACCCCAGAAAGAGGCCCCGGGAAAGCUCUGAUGUGGAAAUGGUGGAAGAUGAUUCCCGGAAGGAAAUGACAGCAGCUUGUACUCCCCGGAGAAGGAUCAUCAACCUCACCAGUGUCCUGAGCCUCCAGGAAGAAAUUAAUGAGCGGGGACAUGAGACUCUCCGAGAGAUGUUGCACAACCACUCCUUCGUGGGCUGCGUGAAUCCUCAGUGGGCCUUGGCACAGCAUCAGACCAAGCUGUACCUUCUCAACACCACCAAACUUAGUGAAGAACUGUUCUACCAGAUACUCAUUUAUGAUUUUGCCAAUUUUGGUGUUCUGAGGCUGUCGGAGCCAGCGCCGCUCUUUGACCUGGCCAUGCUCGCCUUAGACAGUCCCGAGAGUGGCUGGACAGAGGAGGAUGGCCCCAAAGAAGGACUUGCUGAGUACAUUGUUGAGUUUCUAAAGAAGAAGGCUGAGAUGCUUGCGGACUAUUUCUCCUUGGAGAUCGAUGAGGAAGGGAACCUGAUUGGAUUACCCCUGCUGAUCGACAACUACGUGCCCCCUUUGGAGGGCCUGCCUCUCUUCAUUCUUCGACUAGCCACCGAGGUGAACUGGGAUGAAGAAAAGGAAUGUUUUGAAAGCCUCAGCAAAGAGUGUGCUAUGUUUUACUCCAUUCGGAAGCAGUAUGUAUGUGAGGAGUCGACCCUCUCAGGCCAGCAGAGUGACGCGCCCGGCUCCUCAGCAAACCCCUGGAAGUGGACUGUGGAACACAUCGUCUAUAAAGCCUUCCGCUCACACCUUCUGCCUCCUAAACGUUUCACGGAAGAUGGAAAUAUCCUACAGCUUGCCAACCUGCCCGAUCUAUACAAAGUCUUCGAGAGAUGUUAAGCACCGUCACUCUUGGACUCGGGGGUGUGCGGUUCCUGCACUGUGUCCUGAUGAGGACUCUGUAGCCAAACUGGUCAUAAAUACACAGGAAACCAAGCAAAGGAAAAGCAAAGGCAUGCUAUGAACUGUGGGGGAGCCGGAGCCUCGAAGGAGAGGGAAGGCACCCCUGGAAUGUGGCCGGGCUCCAACGGCGAGUGGCGCUCGCGAGCCCUGAUAAAACGCGCGGGCCGGGCGUGCCGUUCCUUCCGGAGGAGGAUGGGGGCACAGGCCAGAAGGCCAGAUGGGAGCUUCUACAGAGGGAGGCCAACAGAGAAUGCCCAGAAGCAACUGAGUGUGUGGGACGGAGAUGCACAAGAGCAGUACGCAUCGAAAGACUCUGCCAGACCAGGUGGGCACGGUCAGGGGGGAGGGUGGGGAGGCAGGGCAGGGAGCUCCUGUCUUCACUACAAGCUCUGUGAAACUAUUUAACUCCUUUGACUCCAUGUCCUGUAAAUUUUUUUAAAAGAACAGGAAACAACAAAGAGACAAAAUGGGCAUCAUCUUUUUACCCUUCAAAUGUUGCUUGCGUACUGAUGUUUGAAGUAAGCACCCUUCUUUCUUGUGUACAUUUUAAUUCGCUAACGUUUUACCCUGUGAUUUAGUCCAUUACGACCAACAUUACCUUCCAAUGAGAAGAAUGCCUUUACCUGUGAUAGUAGCUCUUCCUUUUCUCCAGCAAGUUUUCGUAGCCUGACGUCUAAAAAAAUUGGAAAAGGCUGUAAACCAAAUUUGUAAUGACACAGUACUGGAACAAUUAAAAAUAAUUCUUGAAAUUCAAAAACAACAAACAUUAUCUGAUAAACAGCUCACAGCUUUCUAUUGAAGAGCUUCGAAGGAAAUGCUUCAGUUAAUGGUAUUAAGGAAAAGUACUUAAAUAUUCACAUAUUGCCACAUAGCUGAUAGUUAUCAAGGCACUAAAUACAACAUUUGCUCCCAAGGGCAGUGAUUUUCCAUUUAAAGACAAACCAAAGUACAAAGAUCACUUCCUUGUUUCAAAAUGUGCAAGCUUUCACCGUAGGCAGACGACUCGAGCUGCCGGGGUGUUCUCGCAGGCUUGAUGAAGCCUCACAGGAGCAAACAUGAUGUGGGGGAGAGGGGGCCUGGGCGGGGAGGCUGGACAGGGGAAGCAGGAACUCAGUGCCGAAGAAGCCAAAGGCCCACUCGGGCCAGUGGGGGCACACGGGGACCAACCCUGAGCCGAAGGCUGUCAAGGGCUAAUCCGAGGCACGGCAGCUGGAUCGCCGGGGCUCGCUCCCGGCCCGAGAGGAAGACGGCUGCUUCCCCGGCACGCAUCAAAACUGGAUCCUGGGCGCCUGGGUGGCUCUGGCGAUUAAGCGUCCAGCUUCGGCUCGGGUCACGAUCUCGAGGCUCGUGAGGUCAAGCCCAAGC